UGAGUCAAUCGGAUGGUUGCUCUUGGGUGAACUUUUGUAAUUUGAGAGAGGAAAGUCCGAGCAUCGCAGAAUAUGGUGCCCUGUAACACAGGGAAUCCGUGAGGAUAUGGAAAGUGCAACAGAAAAAAAACCGCCUUGGCAAGUAUAUCAAGGUAAGGGUGAAAAAGUGGUGUAAGAGACCACAAAUCUUUUUGGAAACAUAAAGAAUCUGUAAACCCCACCUGAUGCAAGACCGAAUAGAUUCAGAGAUGUGAUUCGCAUCGUUUGAUGAACGGGUAGGUCGCUUGAUCUCGAUGGUAACAUUGAGACCAGACAAAUAAUCAUCUAUCCUUGAUUCCAGGGUGGACAAGACUCGGCUUACAGAUUGGCUCAAAAA
rnacentral:RNase_P_RNA from 1 species